AGGUCAACAUUACUUGGUGUCAGAAGUGGGAUCUGGAGAAGACCCUUGGUAACAACCAGGCAGUGAGCAAAGAGGUCUGGACUUGCAGAGGGUAUUGCGCUCAGCUUUCUUGCUGACCCUGGAGCUUGAGGGUCUGCGUCAGUCCGCAUGCUUGUUGAUGGAGAUCAAGCUGGACAUUGGAUGAGACGUGCCUGAUGGGAACGUCCUGAACGGGAUGUAGAAGAACAACCUCCAACUUUUGGCAGGAGGCUGGUUCGCUGGCUAGAGAACUCCGCCAAGCAAUCAGCAGCCUUGCCUCAGCCUUCGAAGACAACACAGUUCAGGCUUGUGCCACGACUCCGACGAGCCUCCUGUGACGCAGGCCUCAGGGCCCCUUGCACUCCUUCCUGCAACCCUCCUGCCUAACCCGUGAGCCGGCCCGGUGGCUGGGGAUGGACGCUCGUGCAGGAUGUCCAAGCGCUAAGUGCACUGCUAACCCCCGAGCCCCACAGCAUCCAGUCCCACCGAGAGCGCCCACUCCACCACAGCUGAUCUGCGCAGGGCACGCGUCACCACUCCAGCUGAUGAGGCCAGCCAGUACCUUUCUGCCUCCACCUGGAGGGGUGACGAUACACCAGGACAGUAAUGCCCCAGGUUUCGCAGAAAAUCCCUUAACACAAAUCCGGAAAGCUGACUUGGGGGACACAAAGGUCUUGCAGGCCUGACAUUGCUACAAUAUACACUCGGCCUUCGAACAACAAGGGACUGAACUGCACAGGUCCACUCACAUGCACCUUUUCCAGUAAAUGCCACGGCACGACUCGGCUGCACGGCUGAGAACCGCAGCACCACAGGUGCUGAGGGCGGACUACAAUCGUACCCGUGGACUUUCAGCUGCACAGGGCGGGUGCCUCGAGCCACCACUUUGUUCGGGGGCCAGUGACAUAGACGCUUUGCUGCUCUGCUCUCCUUCUCAAACCUCUUCGUAGGAAGACAGUAUCCACCUGUCAAAACUUUUGGUCUUAAAGGGACAGAAACUCUUUAAGGAAAAGAUGUUGACGCUCAAACUCCGCGUGGGUAUUUCGGGCAAAAGCGAUUUCAGAACAAGGACCACAAGGGGGUCUGGGCAGCCUUCAUGCGUCUUGAACCCCCCCAAACCUAAAACCCCCCAGUUGGGAGGUUUUCUCUGGCUAGCUGGCUGCUGUCAACGUCAAAUUCCAAAUUUCUCUCUUAUGGCCCAGCUCCUAAUGCUCCGUUUAAAAUGAGCGAAGCUGGAGUUCUCCUCAUGGCACAGGGGAAACGAAUCCAACUAGUAUCCAUGAAGGUGCAGGUUUGAUCCCUGGCCUCGCUCAGUGGGUUGGGGAUCCCACGUUGCCGUGAGCUGUGGUGUCGGUCUGAGACGUGGCUUGGGUUCCACGUUGCCAUGGCUGAGGUAUUGGCUGGCAGCUGCAGCUCUGAUUCAACCCCUAGCCUGGGAAUCUCCGUAAUGCCACGGGUGUGACCCUAAAAAGCAAAAAAAAAAUUUUGUAGUUAAAGAAAAAAAUGAGCAAACCCAACCCCGUUGUUUGGAGAGAUUAAGAUGGCAACUCUCUGAGCCUCGAAGAAACCGUAGCAAGGCCCUGCCCUUGGCAUCCUCGCAACAGCUUCCCUUUCCCUCUUCGUAUGUGAGAAGGAAGGGGGCGCCCGUGGAGGAGUCGCCCCCAAACACAGGACCGUCCGCGAGCCAUGGAGUGCUGCAGCCGACAGCUGGACCCUGAGGCCCGGGGACCCCCCUUGUCUCAGAGCCAUCCCUGCCACUGCCCUUCUGGUUAAGGCCACUGGGCCAUAGUCAGGGGACCCUUCCAGCCAGCUUUGCGCUCCGGCAGCACAGCCCUCCCGAGGUCUCAGCACAGCCCGCACUUUUCGGUGAGUGGCCCGCCUCCUACAAGGUCCUGCCGCUGACAGGUCCUCGCCGAACUCUCCCGUGGUGAGCCCCUCAGCCCUGCGCCUCGCCCCUCUGUCUCUGGGGAAGCCCCUCGCCACUGCCCACCAUGGCCAGACCAGCUCCUGCCUCCCGCCGUGGCUCACAGGACCCUCUGCCCCCACGGAUCUGCCAUGCUUUGCUGGCCCUGCCUACUGAGGGUGACAGUGCUGAACGCUGCGCUGUGGGAGCGGCUCCACCGCCUCUGGAUGUCGCCACGUCCUGACUUUGGGCUACGUUGGCCCAACAGGCUGAAUGGUGUGCUCUCGCUCAGGCCUGUACUUUAGCCAAGGGCCAAACUGGCACAUUUACACCAACAGCCAGUGUGCCUGUCGGGGAGCCUGCGACCUUGGGAUGCUGUGGAAACAGUGGUUUCCUUACCUGCAAUGGGGGAAAGAUUAAAAGUGGCUCUCACGUCCAAAUCGAAUAGACGCCAUACUCCUGGCAGCCGCUCAGGCGAUAAUUAAGACCCCGGGUUCCAGACCCGACUCCCGGAGGCCGACGAAAACCACUUCACUGAUGUUUGCCCCAAACGCUGCUCCCAAAGGCGCCAACGGCCAGACUUCUGUGGCGGCCCAAAGAGCUGCCCACGACGACAAUCUGGAAAAAUUGACUAGAAAUGCGCAAUAAUUGGCCCCAGAAAAGCAAAGACAAUACUGGAAACCUAGUCACUGCUGGUUCGAUAAAAAAGGAGAGAAUGCUAGUUUGGGCCAAAGAACAGUCCGGCCCAUUAGAAAUUCUAAGACUCCCGAGCUCCUGUCACGGCACGGGGUUAACAAACCCACCAGGACCGUGAGGAUGCAGGCUCGAUCCCUGGCCUCACUCAGGGGGUUGAGGAUCUGGCGCUGCCGUGAGCUGGGGUGCAGGUCGCAGACGUGGCUCAGAUCUGGCGUUGCUGUGGCUGUGGUGCAGGCCAGCAGCUGUAGCUCCAGUUUGACCCCCAACCUGGGAACAUCCAUACGUCGCAGGUGCGGCCCUAAAAAAAAAGAAAUUCUAAGACUCCCUCUUCUCUCCAGUGCACCUGCAUUAAACCACAGGUCCACUGACAGAACGACAGCCUCCACGAACCAGCACUGGUGGAAAUAUUAUUAAUAAGGCCACAAAAAGCGUCCCCCUUGCCUGCCCACUUGUCCAAAAUAUGAUCCAGAGAAACCUCUCUGCUCUGCUCCCAGACAUUUUUUUUAUAGGCACACUAUUUUAUUAACUCUUAAAUUUCAGAGUUUCUGUUGUGGUGCAGUGGAAACUAACCAUGAGGUUUCCGGUUCAAUCCCCACCCUUGCUCAGUGGGUUAAGGAUCCAGCAUUGCCAUGAGCUGUGGUGUAGGCCACAGCCCCGGCUCGGAUCCUGCAUUGCUGUGGCUGUGGUGUAGGACGGCAGCUACAGCUCCGAUUAGACCCCUAGCCUGGGAA
ensembl:lncRNA